UCUUCCUCUUCCUCUUCCUCUCCCCCCCUCUCUGUUAGUCAUGCAUAUGGGUGUGGAGGCCAGAUGUUAACAUCUGCAUCUGCUUCUAUUGGUCUCCACUUCAUUAAUUAACUUAUUAUUUCAAGACAGUUACUCACUCAACUUUUCAUUUUGGUCAGAUUUGUCAUAGAAAGCCAUUGGGAU
rnacentral:miRNA from 14 species